GAGUUUGAUCCUGGCUCAGGAUGAACGCUAGCGGCAGGCCUAAUACAUGCAAGUCGAACGGUGAUAGCAAUAUCAUAGUGGCGCACGGGUGCGUAACACGUAUGCAACCUACCUUAUACUGAGGGAUAGCCUUUCGAGAGGGAGAUUAAUACCUCAUAACACAUUGAACUGGCAUCAGUUUAUUGUUAAAGAUUUAUUGGUAUAAGAUGGGCAUGCGUCCAAUUAGUUAGUUGGCGAGGUAACGGCUCACCAAGACGAUGAUUGGUAGGGGAACUGAGAGGUUAAUCCCCCACACUGGCACUGAGAUACGGGCCAGACUCCUACGGGAGGCAGCAGUAGGGAAUAUUGGGCGAUGGAGGCAACUCUGACCCAGCCAUGCCGCGUGCAGGAAGAAGGCGUUAUGCGUUGUAAACUGCUUUUAUAUAGGAAGAAAUAGACCUUGCGAGGUAAGUUGACGGUACUAUAUGAAUAAGCACCGGCUAACUCCGUGCCAGCAGCCGCGGUAAUACGGAGGGUGCAAGCGUUGUCCGGAUUUAUUGGGUUUAAAGGGUGCGUAGGCGGUUUAUUAAGUCAGUGGUGAAAGACGGUCGCUCAACGAUUGCAGUGCCAUUGA
rnacentral:rRNA from 1 species